CGGGAACCCGGGAGCUAAUACCGGAUAAGAUAUCGAACCGCAUGGUUCGAUAGUGAAAGAUGGUUUUGCUAUCACUUAUAGAUGGACCCGCGCCGUAUUAGCUAGUUGGUGAGGUAACGGCUCACCAAGGCAACGAUACGUAGCCGACCUGAGAGGGUGAUCGGCCACACUGGAACUGAGACACGGUCCAGACUCCUACGGGAGGCAGCAGGU
rnacentral:rRNA from 1 species